UCCUACGGGGCGCAGCAGUGGGGAAUAUUGCGCAAUGGGCGAAAGCCUGACGCAGCGACGCCGCGUGAGGGAUGAAGGUCUUCGGAUCGUAAACCUCUGUCAGCAGGGAAGAACGGUCACUGUGCUAAUCAGCAGUGAAUUGACGGUACCUGCAAAGGAAGCACCGGCUAACUCCGUGCCAGCGGCCGCGGUAAUACGGAGGGUGCGAGCGUUAAUCGGAAUUACUGGGCGUACAGCGCUCGUAGGCGGUAUGUCAAGUCAAGGUGGAGAUCCC
rnacentral:rRNA from 1 species